ACUCCUACGGGAGGCAGCAGUGGGGAAUCUUGGACAAUGGGCGCAAGCCUGAUCCAGCCAUGCCGCGUGAGUGAUGAAGGCCCUAGGGUCGUAAAGCUCUUUCGCCAGGGAUGAUAAUGACAGUACCUGGUAAAGAAACCCCGGCUAACUCCGUGCCAGCAGCCGCGGUAAUACGGAGGGGUUAGCGUUGUUCGGAAUUACUGGGGCGUAAAGCGCGCGUAGGCGGACUGGAAAGUUGGGGUGAAAUCCCGGGGCUCAACCUCGGAACUGCCUCCAAAACUCCCAGUCUUGAGUUCGAGAGAGGUGAGUGGAAUUCCGAGUGUAGAGGUGAAAUUCGUAGAUAUUCGGAGGAACACCAGUGGCGAAGGCGGCUCACUGGCUCGAUACUGACGCUGAGGUGCGAAAGUGUGGGAGCAAACAGGAUUAGAUACCCUGGUAGGAUAGCC
rnacentral:rRNA from 1 species